rnacentral:rRNA from 1 species
AUUGAACGCUGGCGGCAUGCCUUACACAUGCAAGUCGAACGGUAACGGGUCCUUCGGGAUGCCGACGAGUGGCGAACGGGUGAGUAAUAUAUCGGAACGUGCCCAGUAGUGGGGGAUAACUGCUCGAAAGAGCAGCUAAUACCGCAUACGACCUGAGGGUGAAAGGGGGGGAUCGCAAGACCUCUCGCUGUUGGAGCGGCCGAUAUCAGAUUAGCUAGUUGGUGGGGUAAAGGCCUACCAAGGCAACGAUCUGUAGUUGGUCUGAGAGGACGACCAGCCACCCUGGGACUGAGACAGGGCCCAGACUCAUACGGGAGGCAGCAGUGGGGAAUUUUGGACAAUGGGCGCAAGCCUGAUCCAGCAAUGCCGCGUGCAGGAAGAAGGCCUUCGGGUUGUAAACUGCUUUUGUCAGGGAAGAAAUCUUCUGGGCUAAUACCCCGGGAGGAUGACGGUACCUGAAGAAUAAGCACCGGCUAACUACGUGCCAGCCGCCGCGGUAA